rnacentral:rRNA from 1 species
AGACCCGAAACCCGGUGAUCUAGCCAUGGGCAGGUUGAAGGUUGGGUAACACUAACUGGAGGACCGAACCGACUAAUGUUGAAAAAUUAGCGGAUGACCUGUGGCUGGGGGUGAAAGGCCAAUCAAACCGGGAGAUAGCUGGUUCUCCCCGAAAGCUAUUUAGGUAGCGCCUCGUGAAUUCAUCUCCGGGGGUAGAGCACUGUUUCGGCUAGGGGGCCAUCCCGGCUUACCAACCCGAUGCAAACUGCGAAUACCGGAGAAUGUUAUCACGGGAGACACACGGCGGGUGCUAACGUCCGUCGUGAAGAGGGAAACAACCCAGACCGCCAGCUAAGGUCCCAAAGUCAUGGUUAAGUGGGAAACGAUGUGGGAAGGCCCAGACAGCCAGGAUGUUGGCUUAGAAGCAGCCAUCAUUUAAAGAAAGCGUAAUAGCUCACUGGUCGAGUCGGCCUGCGCGGAAGAUGUAACGGGGCUAAACCAUGCACCGAAGCUGCGGCAGCGAACGUAUCACUUAAAGCGAUUCAGCGGGUUACGAUUGACGGAGCGAAGCGACGUCAAAGCGUAUACAAAGUCGAGUCGGUUUAAGGAUACGUUCGUUGGGUAGGGGAGCGUUCUGUAAGCCCGUGAAGGUGGCCUGUGAGGGUUGCUGGAGGUAUCAGAAGUGCGAAUGCUGACAUAAGUA